GGCCCGGCGGCCGGGGAGGGCUGGCCGGGUGGGGGAGCGCGGGCCGCCGAGGAGGCGGCUUCCCUCUGCGGCCGGUCGGAGGCUCCGGGGCGCAGCCGCCGCGCGUGGAGCUCGGGAGCGCCUCGCGGACGGGACCACCUGGGACAGCAGGCGCUCCGCCUCCCCACCUUCCCAAUCGGGUCAGUUUCAGGCACAGGGAAUUCAGCAGUAAAGGAUGGAGCCUGCAUUCCAACCAGGCUGUCUGGGUCUCAGGGUACUGCUGUGCAUGAGUACCGAGGCUGAGGAGAGGUGCCCCUGAGGAGGCAUGCUCAGAGGCCUGCCAGCGUCCAGCCAUCUUUACUGCCCACUAGAGUGUGUGUCCUGGCCUCGGGCAGGGGCUGCAGAGAGCGGCCAGGGGACCCGAAGCUCCUGCAGCCCCUGCCAGGUGCUCCUAGGUGGACUAGGAGGAGAGAUUGCUGGAAAUGAGCUGCCCUGGGAACCACCAGAGGGAAGGGUGGCAGGCAGGCCAGCUGCCAACCACCUGCAGGCUGGCAGGCAGGGGCUGCUUGCUGGAGGAGGAGCCUGGCAGGAAGCUGGGGAAACAGACAGCUGACCCCUCCCCUCCUGUGCAGCCCCAAGGAAAGGGAGCUGCUGUUCUGGGGACUUUGCAGAGAGACAUCACCCCAGUGUCCCCAGAUUCUCUUCUGUCAAUGGGCCCAGUCCAGCCCUCCCUUCUCCACAGGGGUCCUAACCCGACCACCCAGCUAAAUGGACCAGGGCACCCACCCCGACAGGGCUGCAGCCUGCCCUCAGAGCAUGCCCACCCGCCUCAGCUCUGUGAGGACACAGACAUGUCUGUCCUUGAAGCCCCAGUGCUGAAAAGCGUCCUGGCAAGUAGUAAGCACCCUAGGUAUUUGUCACAUGAGCGCACCUGUCCUAGAUUUAUCACUGAGGAAGCUGUAGCUCAUGGAAAUUGAGUAACUUGCCUGAAGGCACAGGGCCCUGGAAUGACGGAGGUCUGACUCCAGGUGCCCAAGAGAGCAGCCUGCUGCUGCUCCGCUCUCCCCACCCGGCCCUGUUUCUCUUUGGCUCCUCCGCAGGAGCCUUCCCUUUGGGUGGAGGGCGUGCCACAGCCUAGCUGCCUGUGCCUGGCACUGGGCAGCCACAUGUACAAGCCUUAUCCUGCCAGCUGCCUGUGAUUCACUCCUCACUGGGAGCCCAGCCCUUAUGCCAGAGUCGGGAGAGGGAGGCCAGGCAGAAGGGGUGUGUGUGUCCUCAACCCCUCCCUUAAGCAAGUCAAAUCUGAUAGCCCUUCGUGUGGGUGGAUGGCCCAAGGCCCGCCUGCCUGCCUGCCUCCCACGGUUGCUCUCAGCUGGGGAAAUACGGAUAUGAAACUUCUCUGGGAACCUUGUGCCAGCAGUAGGGCUGGGGUGGGGGUGGGGGGUCCCCCUGUGUGGCCACAGAGCUGGAGGACCAGGACCAGGCGCUCAGAACCAGCCUCUUCCCGUGGCCUCCCUGGGCUGGGCUCCUUCUGCCCUUCCUGGGUUAUUCAUUUAAAGAUCCUUUAAUGGCCACACACCAGCUUGUAAAAGCCUAUAGCUCAGACUGCUCCCCGCCCUCAAGGGGCCCUUCCAGAGCAGCAGCAAAAUGCAGGAAACUUGGACACACCAGAGAGCAGGGGCACUCAGCAAGAGGGCCACCUCGGAGGAGACCUACCUGCCGACACCUUGACCUUGGGCUUCGAGCCUCUGUGAACCAGAAGGGCUUCCUCCCUAUGAAGUCAGCCGCAUGACUUAACCUCAGAGGACACCUGCUCCAGCUGCUGCCUAGCUGCCAGGAUUGCUGCCCUCUGCCCUCCGCCCUUUGCCCUGCACCCAGGAGGAGGAGCUUUCCAUUUGCCACUUCACCUGUUAAGGCCGACUGCCCAGAAGAACUGUCUUGGGCCCAUAGAGAUAAUUUACGCAAUGCUCAUCCAUACGUUGCACACAUGACCCAGAUAAUAACUGCUGGAAAUGGAGUUAUUUACCCAUUUUACAGAUGGAAAGACUGAGACUCAAAAAACUGACCUGACCUGCUGAAGUUACACGGAAAGGUAAUUAGACGGGUGGGUGCCCCAGUGUCACACUGGUGUGGGGUCUGAAAUGUGGGAACAGAAGGUCCACACCAGCACAAACCAUGUCCACAGAGGACACGGCCCUGGGUACUCAGGUGGGGCCAAUCUGUUCUACCCUGGAGGGAACACAGGACUGUCUUGCCUGACCUGCUCUUGCAAGAAGGUAGAGCUGCCCCCACCCAGCCUCAGCUCCAGAGGCCAGACCUGCCCACCUGGAAAAGCCCAGUCCUGGGCUGGAAUGGAGGGCGGACCAAGGGGAGUGGUGGCCAGAGGGUGGAUCUGAGCUGGAAGGGCCAGUGAUUUGUGGCUAGCUGAAAAUAAUACCAAAGGUGGCCAGGAUGGAGGCGGCUCACACACCUGGGGGCGGUGGAGAGUGCCACAACCAGGGACAGGAGGGCCCAGAGGCCAGGCUGGUUCUCGACCCUGUGGGCUUCCCAGGCCUGUCAGGGUGAUGGCCUCGGUUGGGCCCCAACAGGCCUCCUCUCACUGUGCUAGCACCCCCUUAUUUUCAUCCUCAAGGUGAUACUACUCUGCAGAUGAGGAAAUAGUCCCAGUGAGGUUAGGGACCCAGGUCAGGGUUGUCCAGGGACCACGGUGGAACUGGAAAGGAAGCAGGGCUGGGGAGCUCUGAGCCAGCCAUGCACCACCAGGCCACCCUGUCACACAUUCCGGGCCUCCUCCCCCGACAGGGAGUGGGCUCCUCGGCCCUGAGAGCAGGACAGCCAGCUGUCCCUGGGGGCUGUCGUUGCCUCAGCAGCAGACUCUUCUGGGGAAAAGGCCAGCCCCUGCUGGGCGGACGCAGGGGCUGUCCAGGGUGGGAGGGAGACACCCCUCUCCAUCCCUGCCGCUGAAGGAUAGCUGGACAGCUGGGUGGGUCCAGAUGUAAAGGAGGGGUGCGCGGCCCACAGUGCUGGCGGGUAGGGGUGCGGGAAGGGCCCUACCCAAGUCCUUUGUCCUGUGAGCCUGCCUCCCCCAGGUCUCUGGUGGAAUGUCCACUUCUGGCUGAUGCGAGGUGGCCUUGACUCCUCUGGGAGGGGGAGAGGGGACGGGGAGCUGCUGUGGUAUCCAGGCUUGUGGGAGGCUCCCACUGGUGGCAUCUGCAGCCAAGCACGAACCCGGCUGAGAGGAAUCUGCACACCAUAGUCCUGUGGAGCGGGAGGCUGGGAUUGGAAAAUACCCUACCUCGUGCCCAGGCUGCUGGGGACAGAGCUGAGGUGACUACUACACAGGGAAGCUGUAAACUGAUUUUCAGACCGAUAAGGGAGGCUGGACUGCUUUACUCGGCAUGUUUAUUUGCCUUUUUAUGUUUGAGGUCUAUACAAAACGUAGAGAGGAAAUAGCAAAGGCCAGGAGCCCAGCGAUCUGAUUCAACCAGGGGGAGGGGAGGUGGGCACUGGUAACUUCCAUUAACCUGGGGUGGGUGGCAGGUGGGUCUGGGGACAGGAGGGCAGGGAUUGGGCUGCCUUUGGAGCCCUGUAACCCAAGUGAAAGGGGAAAACCUGCUUCAAACAAACCCAUGCAAAUGCAAAUCACAGGUUCUGGGAAAGUAGGUUUUAAGGGGCAAAAACUAACACCGUCUGCUCAACCUAGAAAUUUUGCAGCACAAAGCGUCCAGCACCGAGUCCACAAACAAAAUCAAACCCCAAACAAGAAAGGAGAAAAAUCCGUGGAGGCAACGUGAAUCCCAAGCUGAUCUUGGAGAGUGACUGAAAUCAGCUGCUGUGGGGCCACCUGAGAAGCUGGUUGGCGGUGAUGGGUGCCAGAGGACACUGUGGGAGAACAGGCUGCAGGGCCCACGAGGGCCAUGAAGGUGCUCUGGGGAGCCACAGCCGUACACAGCUUGUGUGGCAGGGCAGGGAAAGCUCGGGGAGGUAAAAGCCCUGGCAUUGGAGUUCAGUGUGACAUCGUCAAAUCAGGGCAUCUGGAUCUGCUUGCCUCUCCCCCUUUACAGAUGGGAAAACUGAGGCCAGCGGGGCAGCAGCCUCUGAAGGACAGGAAUGCAGCCAUUCCUGCGACUCCCUCUCACUGAGCCUUGCUGUGUGCUGGGAACUGAGAGGGCAGGGCCCCAGCCCUGGCAGAGCUGGACAGGGGCUCCCACCCCAAGCCUUUCAGUGUCAAUGCCCUCUGGCACCCUGCACUAUGUCAGUCGGGACCCACUUCACAGCACUGUUCGGAGGAGAAGCUGCUUGUCCCCAUUUUACAGAUGAGGGACUUGAGGCCCAGAGGGGCAGUCUGCUCCCAGGACUGGGCCUGGAGCCCUGCUUCAUCUGAGCUAAAACAGCCCCACUUUCUGUUUCUGCAAACCAGCUCCCACAUCAGCAACUGGAGAGUGCCAUCAGAACCUUUUUUGUUAGGGAAACAUCCAAGAACUCUCCCAACCAUACUGGAAGAUCAACAAGGACCUCUGAAAGCCUUCCCUGAAGCUCUGACACCCAAGGGCCCCCGGAGGUGUUCACAGGGUGGGGCGGGAGGAAGCUGCCCUUGUUUGCUUGCCAUCCCUGGGUGAAGGUGACACAGGACGUGGGCAAGCAACCUGGGCAUAGAUGCAAGUCAUGCAUCUCGUUUCUAGAACUCCUUGCGGGAAGCUGCCCUGGCCUAGGAUCUGAGAUUAAAAAUCACAUCUGUACUUGUUCGGAAGAUCAUGAAACACACCCAGGAAGGACGGGGUGUUCCAGCAGAGCUCCCGGGACGGGCUGAUCCUCCUGCUUGCUCUCGCAGCCAAAGGGAUCCUUGCGACAUGGGAAUCCAGAUCGCAGCGGAACCCCCGCCCUGUGCCCAGGGCUCUCCGUGUCGGCCCCCCCACUCCGCUCCUGCUCACUUUGCCCAGCCAAGCCCGUUCCCGCCUCAGGACUUUGAACAUGCCAGCUCCUUUCCUCUGAAUGCCCUCCUGACCCUUGACCCCGGGCCCUCGGCUGCCUGUGGCUUUGGAUAUCCGGUCACCCCAGUCUCUGCUUAAAGGUCGAGUGAGGGCCACUUGCCCCUCCGGUCCCUGUCAUCACAUGGCGUUUAGCACCACCUGAUGCUCUUGCAAGUGUUUCUGUGCAUGUUUGCCACAGCCUGUCGUCCACACUCGAAUGGGGCAGGGGUCCCCAGUGCCUAACUGUGGGCUCUGCACUGUGACGCAGAGUCUCGGAUUGUUGACAAUCCGCUUGUUGACAAACGCUGCUCUGAUAACAGAAGCUGUGCAAGGUGUGGAGCAGGGUGACCCAGACGGACCGCGCCGCUUGCCAGGGCGACAGCCCCUCCGCUGCCCUCCUUUGUUGCCAUGUAGGAACGUGGACCCUGUCAGCGGGCUGUUGGAGUCUCCCAGAGAGGCCAGAAAACCACGUCUUCUGGUGAAACUCAGUGACUUUUAAAAUAUUGACAGCUAAUUCCAAUCUAAAAUAUAAAACAUUGGCAGGACAGCAAAACCCGGAUGCAGGCAGAGGUGUUCAGAGACCAGCCCAUUUGUGUGACGUCUGGUUCAAACCGCAGGAGUUAAGCUAGACUGGAAAGGUCAUUAUUCAAUGACAGAGAUUGACAAGCACAAAACAGCAGCGGGUGCGCGGCUGCCCCUAACAAAGAAGCGGAUUUGGAAAGGAAAGUUCAUGGUAGUGCAAAGAGGAAAUGAUGCCCUUGAUGGUGCACCUGCAGGCGGUUCAGCCAGGGCAGGACCACGGCCAGCUGGAGUGGAGACAGCUCAGAGCUCAGGCUCAAAGUCCAUGGUGCUGAGCUCACUUGGGAAGCAGGAGCAGGCAUACGAGGGAGCUGUUGCCCCAGGUGGGGUGGGGAAAAGCCGGGUUAAGCCAGGUAACAGGGUGAUGGGGCCCAGAGAAUGUUGCUGGCCAGUGGUGGCUAGGCCAGGCCACAUGUCUAAGCCACAUCCUGCUCUAGCUUGCUUUUUUUUUUUUUAA